GAGGUGAUGCAUGAUCCUAGACUCCUGAGCCCAAAGUCAGCUUUUGGUAGUCACUCUGGGAGAGAAGUGUUCAGCACAGAGCUUGUUGGGGCUGCUUCCUGAAGAAUAUUUUUGGGAUCCCGGCCUUUCUCCUCUGUUACCUCCCAGUAGUCCCAGCAGAAGUCCCCAGAGACAUGAUUCUUCAGAAGAAACAGGAAGGCUUUGGCUGCAGCAGUUUCCAUCCGGGUAAGGGUGAAAAUGGAUGAACACAGA
rnacentral:lncRNA from 1 species